rnacentral:lncRNA from 1 species
AUAAAUCUAUGAAAGGGGAAGAGAUGGGGUCCUUGGUGAAUAAGAAGAUGUUGGAAAAAUGUCACUUUAUAUCGGCGAUUGCCAAGGGGCAAGCCGGCUAGUCGCAAUGAAAAUCUUUAGUUGGGAUGUUCGUGGAUUAGGGAGUCUAUGGGCUACUAGAAAGUUUCGGUAUGUGCUUAAACUGUACAAUCCCCAGGUGGUCUUCAUCAUGGAGACUAAACUAAGCAAGAUAUGAAUGGAA